rnacentral:rRNA from 1 species
UGGGGAAUAUUGGACAAUGGGCGAAAGCCUGAUCCAGCCAUGCCGCGUGUGUGAAGAAGGUCUUCGGAUUGUAAAGCACUUUAAGUUGGGAGGAAGGGCCAUUACCUAAUACGUGAUGGUUUUGACGUUACCGACAGAAUAAGCACCGGCUAACUCUGUGCCAGCAGCCGCGGUAAUACAGAGGGUGCAAGCGUUAAUCGGAAUUACUGGGCGUAAAGCGCGCGUAGGUGGUUUGUUAAGUUGGAUGUGAAAUCCCCGGGCUCAACCUGGGAACUGCAUUCAAAACUGACAAGCUAGAGUAUGGUAGAGGGUGGUGGAAUUUCCUGUGUAGCGGUGAAAUGCGUAGAUAUAGGAAGGAACACCAGUGGCGAAGGCGACCACCUGGACUGAUACUGACACUGAGGUGCGAAAGCAUGGGGAGCAAACAGGAUUAGAUACCCCUGUAGUCCCUGAGCGGGCUGGCAAGGCGCAU